GUGAGGAAUAUUGGACAAUGGAGGAAACUCUGAUCCAGCCAUGCCGCGUGAGUGAUGAAGGCCUUCGGGUUGUAAAGCUCUUUCGGGUGUGAAAAUGAUGAUGGUAACACCAGAAGAAGCCCCGGCUAACUCCGUGCCAGCAGCCGCGGUAAUACGGAGGGGGCGAGCGUUGUUCGGAAUCACUGGGCGUAAAGCGUGCGUAGGCGGUUAUACAAGUCAGGAGUGAAGUCCCAGGGCUCAACCUUGGAAUUGCUUUUGAGACUGUAUGACUAGAGAUCUAGAGAGGUUGGGGGAAUUCCGAGUGUAGAGGUGAAAUUCGCAGAUAUUCGGAGGAACACCAGUGGCGUAGGCGCCCAACUGGCUAGAUACUGACGCUGAGGCACGAAAGCGUGGGGAGCAAACAGGAUUAGAUACCCUGGUAGUCC
rnacentral:rRNA from 1 species